AAUAGAUAGACUUAGGAACGAGAGUCGAAUGGGAGGGCGACGUGAGAGAUGCACGGCGGCCGUUCCGGGAUAAGGCCUAGCAUUAUUAAUCUUCCUCCUCCUGCCACGCCCGGAGUACGUCUCUCGUAGUGGUCGGACGCUGGCUAGCGAGUGAACUAUGCCGCCGCUGGCCGCCGCCCUGCUCCUCCUGCUCUGGGCCGCAGCCUCCUCGGCCUCUGCUGCCAGCUUCACCUGCGCCAAACCGAGCACAUGCCGCUCCGCCGUCGCCUACGUCGUCCCCAUCGCCACCACCUACGAGCAACUCGCUUCCCGCUUCAGCCCCACCGCCACCCUUCAGCACCUCCUCGCCGCCAACCAACUCCCGCCCCACACCGACACCAGCAAAGUCAUUCCCGCGAAAACAGCCGUGCGCAUCCCCUUCAGGUGCCGCUGCGCCGGCGGCGUGGGCCAGUCGGACCUGGAGAUGUACACCGGCGGCCGUGGCGAUGACUACUUCAUGGAGGUCGUCACCGCCAACAACGUUGGCGCAGGCAAAUACUAUGGGUGGAGGCCGCUGCCCUGCAGCUGCGACAAGGUGGACGGCUCCAACGUGAUGCACCUUGCCUACGUGAUCCUCCGCACAGGCGACAACACCUCCGAGAUUGCCGCCAUGUAUGGGCUGCGAGAGUCAACGCUGCUCAGGAUCAAUAAUAUCACUAGCAGCCAGCUGCUGCUUCGCCAAGGCCACAUUCUUGAUAUCCCGCUAUUCCAUGGAAUGGGCACAUGGUCCAGGGUACAUUAUAUCUCAACACAUAGGGAAAGAAGAUUGAAUGAAGGGGAUUCUGCGGUGACGGCAUCAAAAGUAAUUAACAUUGUAAAAGUAGUUGUCCCCGUUGUGACCAUUCUUGUGUAUCUCGUUACAACAUGGUGUUACUGGAAAAGCGCACGCAAUUCCCUGUCGUCGGGAGCGAAUGGCUUUAUGGAAUUUAGUUAAGCGAUUUGGCUUGCGCCACGAACAGAUUCUCCAGGGAUGCUCUUCUUGGAGAGGGUAAGUUUGGCGCGGUAUAUAAGGCAACGUUGAAGGGCCAGGUAGUGGCCGUGAAGAAAAUAAAAGCAGAGGGAAAGCUUGAGGACUUCCACCGCGAGUUGCAGACAGUUGGUAACACAAGGCACGAGAAUCUUGUUGACCUCAAAGGUUGGUGCGGCAAAAUCAGAGUGAUCGAUGGCAAGACUUGGUGGAAAAGGGUUAUCAAGGUUGAACUCUUCCUCGUCUUUGAGUUCAUACCUAAUGGCGACCUUGAGCGCCACCUGGACAACAGCAACCAAGUUCUAUCAUGGGACAAAAGGUAUGUAUUUGGAGCAACUAAAAUGAAUUUUGAUGAUUUAUCUAAUGGAACUGAUUCUGUGUUGUACAUUUUGGUACAUGCAUUUUCCUGAAAACCUCGUCAAAAUUUUGAAUUAGUUAGUGCUAAGGGUGGUGGGAGAGGCAGUGCAUAAGUCAAAUGGCAUAAGGAACACUAUUAAGCUUUUCUCUCUUCAAACAAAAUUAUUAUGCAAACCUUAGCUUCUCCUCCAUUCAUCUCAAACCAGUUUUAAUUCAAAAAAGAAAUAAAGUCAAACGACCAUAAGUUCGACAUAGAUCAUUAGAAAACACUAACACUUACGGCACAAAUUAGUGUAUUACAUUCAUCACAAAAUAUACUUUUAUAAUAAAUCUACUCGGUUCCAUGAAUAUUGGGAUAUUUUUGUGCAAACUUAGUAAAACCUUUAGAUAGUUUGAAUUUCCCCCAAAAAAUUGAAUAGUGGUGAUAUUAAGGGAUAAAAUUAAAUUAGCUAACGAGUUAUACAAGAAAGAUAAAAUUUUCUAUCGAAUGUAAAUGAUCUCAGCCCUAGCAUCGCCCCGCGUGGACACCACAUGUUGUACUAGCUUAAUCUUCUAUAGGACGUCGUCACCAUCUAAGAUAGGAAAAAGUUAUAUUGUUAAGCUUCCUCUUGCUAUGUUGAUUCAUAAAAAGUCUUGAUUGCUUUGUUCACUAGAGAAACUAAUUCUUUCAUGUCUCUAGUGCUCGGUUAUAUUGGUGGUGUUACGUACUGUCAUAUUGAUAUAUGGAAUGUUAUUAUCGAAUAUUUCACAUUCACUACAGAAAACAACUCAUUUAUCAAGUGUUUUUUUAAAUGGCACUCGACAAAGCAGAUCUUUGCCAAGUUUUUUCAAAAAAAUAAUAGUAAGAAUGUAAAAUAAAAAACAUACACUCAACAAAGGUGGGGGACACAUGUCCCGCCCGUUGUGGUUGACGGGAAGGAGACGGUCAGUUAGCUUUGCUGAGUGCCCCCGGUUUUUUUAAUUCCAUAUCCGUGGCAUAGAUCAUGAUAAUGUGGUCAUAUUUUUUGUACAGAGGGCAUCCUGCCAUCCGAAACAACAUUGCCACAACAAGUUUCUAACUUUUUGUUACAAAAAAUAUUUUUUAUAUAUUCUAAGUGCCAAAAUUGGGUUUUUUGUGAAGCAAUUGUAAAGAGUAUAAGGUACAAUGCCGCCUCUCCAAUUUUCACACAAAUUAGACCAUAUUAGAUGGACAAUUCACAACUAUUAAGAAUUUUCUCGCUUUCUAUCUAUUUUCGCUCAUUCAAUUGAGUUUCGGCCAAUAUUCUGAAAGUAAUUCAAAUUUGAACUACGAGUAUGUUCUAGUGUAGUCCAAUUUUUCCCAAAAAUCAUUUUGAUGUGUCUAAGUAGGAUUCUAUGCAAUAGAAAAACAUGGUGUUGAAAGAUCUAGGCCCUUGCGACGAAUAGUUUCACCGAUAAUAUUGACCCCGUUAUGAAAAUAAAUAAAAAUAAAAAUAUCGAAAAUGGUAUACUUUCAAAUGGAGUUGUUUUAUGUGUACUUAGUGGUCAAGAAGAUAAAAAUGGAUUUUGACAAAAAAAACUUCCAGAAAAUGGACUAUCAUGUAUGAAAAUUCAUGGCUUUCAAGCCAAAUGCCCAUGUCAUAGCCAUAUCCAUGGCAUGGUUAUGUGCCCAUAUUUGGCACAAAGGUGCAUCUUUCCAUGCCAAACAAUAGUGCCAAGACGAGUUCACAACUUGUUGGUACAAAAAAUAUUUUCCAUUUCCUAAGUGUCAAAAAUGUUUUUUGUGAAGCAAGUGCAAAGAAUACGGUGUAAAAUGACACCUUUCCUAAUUUGACACAAAGUAUACCUUAUUAGAUGCCAAUUCCAAGUAUUAAUAUUUUUUCCCAUUUUCUAGCUACAUUAACUACAAGUGUAUGCUUGUUUGGUCCAGAAAAUUCCAAAAUUAAAUUUUAGGUAUCUAAGUAGGAUCUAUGCAAUAGUCAAGACUGGUAUUGAAAGAUCCAUACCUUUGCUAUGAAUAGUUUGGCCGAUGAUUAAGACCCUGUUUCAAACAUCUAAUAAAAUGAAGAAAAAUUCAAAAAAUGCAAUCCUUUCGCAUGAAGUCAGCUUAUGUGUUGUAGUUUUCAGAAGAAAUGAUAAACAUGGAUUUUGACAUAUUUUGUAAAAAAAAAAUCAUAAAAUGGACUAUCAUAUAUGAACAUUUUGGCUUCCAAGCCAAAUGACCAUGGUUAUGGCCAUAUUCAUGGCAUAGUUCGUAAUAAUGUGACCAUACUUGGCACAAAGGUGCAUCUUUCCAUGCCAAACAAUAGUGAAAAUAGGAGUUUCUAAGGUUUUGUUACAUGAAAUGUUUUUUGUUGCCAAUGAUAAACACUCAGCAAAGACCCCUUUGUCGGCUUGUUCUGUGCCGAGACCCUUUGCCGAGCAGGAGCACUCGAUAAAUCCUUUGCUGUGUGUGUCCUGGGCACUCUGCAAACUGCUGAAAUCCGGUAGCGAUUAUCAAAGUGUCUAGUUAAAAUUUCAGAUUUUGCAAGGUGUGCUCCUAAACUAUUGUAAUUCAUUCAUACUUUUUGAUAUGAGGGCCAUGGUGAUUUGUUAUCUCCUAGGAGUUAAGAUUAGUACACGAACUAGAAUCCCUUGUACUUUAGAAGGCAUCAGCUGAUAAUAUUCAAAUACACCAUCAUCAAUCCUUACCGUUCUAUGAAAUGGAUAACUUUUGACCGGUGGAAUCAAUAUAUGUCGACUUAUAUGCAUGGUUGAUACAUACUUGUUCCCUUUGUUUUUCUUUGAACUUUGAAUAUGACGGAACUUCCGCUGAUAUAAUACUCCAAAAUAAUUUUGUUUUUCCAUAUCAUUCAAAUGAAAUUUAUCAUCAAUAAUUGGUGACACCGACCUUGCAACAUUCUGUUAACCACAUGCCCAUGUUCCAAAAGACUAAAUAUUUACAUUCCUGCAUACUUUACUAAAGGGACUAGAUGCAUAAUACUCCCUGCUCCGUCCGAAAAUAAGUGUCUCAACUUUGUACUAAGGUUGAGACACUUAUUUUGGGACGGAGGGAGUAUUUACUAUGGUUUUUUAGUUGAACUAUUACUCAUGGUUCUACGACGACUCUUUUAAAGGAAGGAAUUACCGAAAUAAUUACUUUCCAACAUGUAAUACCAUUGAUCAAUGGUUAAGAUACGAUUAUAGGUCUUCCCUAUGCAGGUAUAAUCAGGUAGGGUUUUGCAUGUGUUUCCCCAUGGUUGAUUCAAGUCAAGGCUUUUCUGAAUGACAUCAUAAUGGCAUGAAAAAUUGACUUGCCAAUUUGUGAUGCUUGGAGUGAGUAAGAAAAAAAAAAUCUGUGGCACAUAAAAAAUAGGAAUUAUAUUAUUCAGGUCCCAGAAGAUAAACAUAACUGAUGUCUGAACAUUUAGCUUGCUAAUGUUUGCAAUAGGUACAAAAUAGUGAAGGGCAUAGGGUCAGCACUUCAUUAUCUCCAUCACGAGUGUAAUCCAUGCAUCCUGCAUAGAGAUAUCAAGCCUGGCAACAUACUCCUGGAUGAAUAUUUCAACGCUAAGCUUGGGGACUUCGGGCUAUCCAUGAUCACCAGCAAAAACAGAGCGACCGUGGUCACAACCGCCGUGGGGUCAGUGGGAUACAUGGAUCCACAACUAAUGAAACACGGGGUUGUGGAGUUCAACCGUAAGUCGGAUGUGUACAGCUUCGGAAUCGUCCUACUAAAGAUUGCAUGUACAAAUAAGUCAAGGGAGGAAGUCUGGCAGAUGCGCGGUGGCAGUGAGCAGCAAGUUCAGGUGGAUGGUGUUGUGGAUGACAGGUUACGCUUCUUUGACCGUACCGAGAUGGAGCGUGUGGUUGUCCUUGGCCUCAAGUGUUCUCACUCAGAAGAGGCACAACGACCUUCCAUGCAGGAUGCAAUGAAAUUCCUCGAGGACGGCCAGGAGUUUCCUCCCACAACACAAGGAGACGACAGCUAUGGUGUGCCCUGCACUGUAAACGAGGAGGCACCUAUGAUGACACAUGGUGAUGUCUCUUCUUGUUACCCUUGAGCUGCAGGAUUGAGUGGGUCUGUCAUGUGAGGCCAAACAUGUAGGGGCGAUGCUGCGCCCUAGUUCAAGUCAGAGUCUAGAACUUGCUGAGUUCAUCUAGAGUUAGAGUAGUUCGGUUCCUAAGUCGGAAAAGUUUUGCCCCGAAGAAGGUUACCCUGCCGACAGGAUCCAAUUCCAAUAAUAGUCCAAGUCUGUUUCCUCAAUUGUAAUUGGCUAUAUAUAUAUAUAUAGGCACCCCCACGUGAUCAAUAAAGCAGGCAGAAAAGCUAACCUCUUGCUCCAACGCCGCGCACGGUUCUCUCAACCUUGCUGCUAGGGCCGGUUGCUGCCGCCACAGGAUGCCGAGACUACUGUCCUUGGGCAACGGUAUCUCACUAGUUACGCCCCACGUCCCAGCCGCCAGAUUAUAGGGCACAUGACGGCGUCAUGGGUCGCAACUUGAUUAUAUAUGCGUCAUCCAGCGUGCAUGCAAGUUCCAUCAUACCAUAUAUAUACUCCUGCUAGCUGGACGAUGGAUUGCACAUUCGGUUCUUAAGUUUACCACUAUAAUAAUUAAUUAAGGCAUUCAUCGAUAUGAUGUUUGCAAUAGUUUUAAGGGUUUUAAUGCUAUCAUGUUUAUCCUCCACUAAUAGUGGAUAUUCGUGUAAAAAACUAUUAAUUAUUUCUCUAGUAAUUGAGUUUUAUCAUGUUUAGUGGAUUAUUU
rnacentral:rRNA from 1 species